UGACAUCCUUUAUAACCCAAAAAUAAAAAAUUCUGUCACUAGAAUCAGCAUGUUGAUCAAAGAGGUUCAACAACCAAAGCAUCGAGUAAAGAAGAAAAUAUUACUUGAAUAGAAGUUACAGAACACAAAGGAAGCCGAAAGAAGGCCUUCAUACAUAGCCUGCAGGCAAUGAAAUGCUUCCAACGGUCUGUUUGAUAGGGGGAAAAUAUUUUCCGGAAAACGUUUUCUAGAUUUUACGGUGUUUGUUUUGUUGGAAAAUGAAUUUCUAAGGAAAACAUUUUCCAAAAUACGGGUAAAAUCAUUUCAUUCUUUCCGAAAAAUGUCUUACCGAUUUCUAUGUGGUAAGACAUUUUCCAUAGCUCCUCUCUUCACUCUCUUCACCCUAAUGAUUACAGCCUCAUCAUCUCUGCCUCGUCUUCUCUGCUAGUUCACCUCUUCUCUUUGCUUGCCUCGUUAGCGUGCUGGUUCAACUCUGCUGGUUCAUCUAAGAUGGAUCGUAAUCAACAUCAAAAUGUAAUUGUCGGAGUCGCGGCUUCAGUUUUAGCUUUUGGGGCUGUUUGGAUUAAAAUAUUAAAAACUACGAAGGAAAUUGCUUCUCACCCUCGUGUGAAUCGAGAUUAUGAAAGAGAAAAUUAUAUUAAUUUGGUACAUCCAAACGUAAAAGAAAAAAAUGUUCAAGAAAGUGUCGUUGAUGAACAAAUUAAAUUUGUGGGUGAACAACUUGGCAGAAUUGCUAAUGCUUUGAAACAAUUUAUUGCGGAUAAGACACCACAGCUUUACGAAGAAGUGAUGUCGAUGGAGGAAGAAGGAUUUGAUGAUGACUUCUUGUGUUCUGUGUUUGAUUAUCUAGUGAGUCAUGAAUCUGAGGCUAAAGCAUUUUUAGUUAAAAGUAAGAAGCAUAAAAAAAUUUGGCUUCAAAAAUUUUCCCAAGGUUGAAGAUAUUGAUACUUUUAUGUGGUGUAAUAUUAGUUAUGCACUUGGACAAUGUUGUUGUUAUUAUAUGGUGUACUACUAAUUAUGCAUUUUGAUAAUAUUUAAUUUCUAGUA